ACGGAAAGACCCCGUGAACCUUUACUAUAGCUUGACACUGAACAUUGAGCCUUGAUGUGUAGGAUAGGUGGGAGGCUUUGAAGUGUGGACGCCAGUAUGCAUGGAGCCGGCCUUGAAAUACCACCCUUUAAUGUUUGAUGUUCUAACGUUGGCCCCUGAUCGGGGUUGCGGACAGUGUCUGGUGGGUAGUUUGACUGGGGCGGUCUCCUCCUAAAGAGUAACGGAGGAGCACGAAGGUUGGCUAAUCCUGGUCGGACAUCAGGAGGUUAGUGCAAUGGCAUAAGCCAGCUUGACUGCGAGCGUGACGGCGCGAGCAGGUGCGAAAGCAGGUCAUAGUGAUCCGGUGGUUCUGAAUGGAAGGGCCAUCGCUCAACGGAUAAAAGGUACUCCGGGGAUAACAGGCUGAUACCGCCCAAGAGUUCAUAUCGACGGCGGUGUUUGGCACCUCGAUGUCGGCUCAUCACAUCCUGGGGCUGAAGUAGGUCCCAAGGGUAUGGCUGUUCGCCAUUUAAAGUGGUACGCGAGCUGGGUUUAGAACGUCGUGAGACAGUUCGGUCCCUAUCUGCCGUGGGCGCUGGAGAACUGAGGGGGGCUGCUCCUAGUACGAGAGGACCGGAGUGGACGCAUCACUGGUGUUCGGGUUGUCAUGCCAAUGGCACUGCCCGGUAGCUAAAUGCGGAAGAGAUAAGUGCUGAAAGCAUCUAAGCACGAAACUUGCCCC
rnacentral:rRNA from 1 species